rnacentral:rRNA from 1 species
UACGAAGGGGGGCUAGCGUUGCUCGGAAUCACUGGGCGUAAAGGGUGCGUAGGCGGGUUUUUAAGUCAGAGGUGAAAUCCUGGAGCUCAACUCCAGAACUGCCUUUGAUACUGAAAGUCUUGAGUAUGGGAGAGGUGAGUGGAACUGCGAGUGUAGAGGUGAAAUUCGUAGAUAUUCGCAAAGAACACCAGUGGCGAAGGCGGCUCACUGGACUGGUAUUGACGCUGAGGUGCGAAAGCGUGGGGGAGCAAACAGG